GGAAGUAAGAGUCGUAACAAGGUCUCCGUUGGUGAACCAGCGGAGGGAUCAUUACUGGAAUCGCAAGAUCCCACAACCCUGUGAACCUACCGAAACGUUGCCUCGGCGGGUGCCCGGCCCCCGCGCCGGGCGCUGCGCCCGCCGGCGGCCCCCUACUCUGUCUCUGCAGCGUGGCAUCUCAGAGUCCCAGAAAACAAGUCAAAACUUUCAACAACGGAUCUCUUGGCUCUA
rnacentral:misc_RNA from 1 species